CCAGACUCCUACGGGAGGCAGCAGUGGGGAAUAUUGCACAAUGGGGGGAACCCUGAUGCAGCGACGCCGCGUGAGUGAAGAAGUAUUUCGGUAUGUAAAGCUCUAUCAGCAGGGAAGAAGAUGACGGUACCUGACUAAGAAGCCCCGGCUAACUACGUGCCAGCAGCCGCGGUAAUACGUAGGGGGCAAGCGUUAUCCGGAUUUACUGGGUGUAAAGGGAGCGUAGACGGCAGGGCAAGUCAGCGGUAAAAUUGAGGGGCUCAACCUCUUCGAGCCGUUGAAACUGGUUUUCUUGAGUGAGCGAGAAGUAUGCGGAAUGCGUGGUGUAGCGGUGAAAUGCAUAGAUAUCACGCAGAACUCCGAUUGCGAAGGCAGCAUACCGGCGCUCAACUGACGCUCAUGCACGAAAGUGUGGGUAUCGAACAGGAUUAGAUACCCGCGUA
rnacentral:rRNA from 1 species